UACAUUUUAGUUUAUGUUGAACAAUAGAUUUUGACUCUUUAGGAAAUAGUUUGAUUCUGUUAAAUGUAA
rnacentral:tRNA from 1 species